ACUGCCCCAAAUUUUAACGACGUCACGUAUUUAUGUGCACAGACGAUUGUUGUCUUUUUCAAUUGUAAAAAAACACACAUCAAUUUUGAAGUUAUAUGCAUUUGACAACUGACAGCAACGCAUCUGCAAUUAUUUUAUCAAAGGAAAUUCAAUAUACAAUGUUGUGCAAGGUGACAUGCGAAAUGACCAUUGAUGUCGGGCAAGAAAGAAACAGUUUAAUAAACAUCAUGCAGAAAUCCAUUAACACUGAUGUCCCAACAGGAAGCCUUGUCAGUAUUUUGUUAAAUUAGUCCAUUUGAAUAAUGACGUCACACAGGUGUGCAGACAUGGAUUUUUUGUGCUCCUGAAACUGUGUAAAAAUCGAUUUUAUCAAGAAUUCAAUUAGAAUUUUUGGAUUAGAAUAAAGCCAGUAGACUAAUCGUGAUGUCUCCAAAGAAAAAUAAAGCAAAAAACGUUAACAAAAGUGCAAAAAGGCAAAGAAAAGAAAAACCAUAUCACCAAUUGAAGCCGCCAAAAAAAGCUCGGGAUUAUCGCACGAAAAUACCGGCAAAACCGGUUUCGACGUAAACACUGUCUACAAUACAUGCGAUACGAACAAUGUAAGUAAACGAAUAAAUUUAACCAAAACACCAACAGCUUUCAAUUUUGACAACACGAGCUUACAAGAGGCUAUUUGGAAUAUGAACAUGAACUUUAAUACAGGAACACCGCUUUUUAACAACAAGUUUGGAUCUCCACUGUAAUUUAGCAGCCUCAAUCAACCAUGUCAACCAUUUCAAAACAUCAUGAACCCCCCGCCGUGGGCCACAGGAUUGAUAGACGAUAUAAAAUCAAUCCAACAGCAAGUAUCAAAAAUAGACAAAAUCGAAGAAUAAGUGAACAAAAUCACCCUCAAAGAAGAGCAACUAGAAAUCCAAUUAAGAACAAUGGAAACCAGCUUCAACUUUAUAAAUGAACAGUUUGAAGAAACAAAAUCAAAACUGAAAAAAUCGGAAGAGUAGAUUAGAAUGUUCAAUGAAAAGUCAAAUAAAUUUGAAAACACAAUCCAAAAUUAUCAAGCGAAAAUAAAUCAAAUAGAAGAAUCCACUGACAAAAUUGGAAUUUCAUAGUUUAAGAGAAAAGCUACUAUUUCAUGGGAUUAAAGAAAUAUCAUCAAAUCAAGAAAAUUGUGAAGAGAUCGUUCAGAAAUUUAUCAAAGAUGUACUGCAGAUUGACAAAAAAUAUCGGACUCGAUAGAGUCCACCGUAUUGGAAAAGCUACACCUGGAAAGACGAGGCCAAUCGUGGCUAAAUUCCACCACUACGCAGACCGCGAAAUCGUACGCAAAGCUUCAAUUGACAAAAACUACGAUUUAAGGGCUUUACAACAGGGCGUUGGGAUACAGCAAACGGGGAUCACACUCGAAAAACGACGGACCAAGCAACACUUAGCCGACCGAGAACGAGCAGAUGGCAAAACAACCAAAUGGGCCUGAUCCAGGCUUCUAGUCAAAGGACAAGACGGCACUUAUCGAGAAAUUACAAAUUAGGACAAUGGGAAGUUAAAAAUAAUUUCGUGGAAUGUUAAUGGACUUGUGCGAAAACUUAGUGAUAUUGACUUUCUGGACUAUAUUAAUCAAUACGAUAUAAUUUCAUUAAGUAAAACAUGGACCAACAAAUAAGAGUGCAAAAUUUAAAUAUCCAAAACUUUAAAAACAUAACAUAUUUAUGGACAUAAAUCUUAUGGAGUAAAAAAAGGCCGACAAGCCGGAGGAAUCUCUGUUUUAUAUUAAACCUCUUUAAAAGAUAAAAUAUCAAUCGUUAAAGUAAAUGAUUUUGGAAUAAUAUGGUUGAAAAAAGAUGGCAAACUGUUAAAUUUUGAUAAAGAUGUGUAUAUUUGUUGCACUUACACACCACCACCAAAUUCAAAAGUCUUGAGAGAUGUAGAUUUUGAUUUUUUCGAAGAAAUUGACACUAAUAUAGAACAAUAUGGCACCUUAGGAUACACUUUUAUUGUAGAAGAUUUAAGUUCAAGAACUGGCUUAUUAUCUGAUGUAUAAGAAUACAAUAUACAUUUGGAUGAUUAUAACAACGUUAAAACCAAUUCAAAUGAACCAAAUUUUGGACACAUUCAAUAUUUGAAAGGCCAUACGGGGAAGAUGAAUAUUCAAUGAUUCCAUGAAUUAUUGACAACGUACACUGGGCCCUACCGUUACUAAAAGUACUAAGGAAAGGUUGAUGAAAUACGGAGACCGUGUUCUUAAAUCGACAACAUUAACCCAGUAGUGCAUUGCUGUUUUGUCUGUGACAAGCCCUUGUUUAAUGUUAAAAUGUGGGAACAUAAAUAUUAUAAUAAGUUGAAAUGCAUUCACCUUAUUAUAUUUACUAAGUAUAAAUGUUUAUUCUUUACAGCGAUACAUGUGCUGUCUUUUACUUUCACGAAAGAAAAAAUGAUC